UGGGGAAUAUUGCACAAUGGGCGCAAGCCUGAUGCAGCAACGCCGCGUGAACGAUGAAGGUCUUCGGAUCGUAAAGUUCUGUUGCAGGGGAAGAUAAUGACGGUACCCUGUGAGGAAGCCCCGGCUAACUACGUGCCAGCAGCCGCGGUAAUACGUAGGGGGCUAGCGUUAUCCGGAUUUACUGGGCGUAAAGGGUGCGUAGGUGGUCUUUCAAGUCGGUGGAUAAAGGCUACGGCUCAACCGUAGUUAGCCUCCGAAACUGGAAGACUUGAGUGCAGGAGAGGAAAGUGGAAUUCCCAGUGUAGCGGUGAAAUGCGUAGAUAUUGGGAGGAACACCAGUAGCGAAGGCGGCUUUCUGGACUGCAACUGACACUGAGGCACGAAAGCGUGGGUAGCAAACAGG
rnacentral:rRNA from 1 species